rnacentral:tRNA from 1 species
GCAUUGGUGCUUCAGUGGUAGAAGGCUCACCUUCCGUGUGGGUCACGUGGGUUCAAUUCUCAGUCAAUGUG